rnacentral:pre_miRNA from 1 species
AGUGGGAUAGCUGGGUCAAAUGGUGGUUUCAUUCCAAGUUUUCUGAGGAAUCUCUACACUGCUUUCCAAAGUGGUUGCACCAAUUUGCCGUCUCACCAGUAAU